GACGAACCGUGCGAACGUUGUUCGGAAUCACUGGGCUUAAAGGGCGCGUAGGCGGGCGGCAAAGUCAGGGGUGAAAUCCUGGAGCUCAACUCCAGAACUGCCUUUGAUACUGGCGAUCUCGAGUCCGGGAGAGGUGAGUGGAACUGCGAGUGUAGAGGUGAAAUUCGUAGAUAUUCGCAAGAACACCAGUGGCGAAGGCGGCUCACUGGCCCGGUACUGACGCUGAGGUGCGAAAGCGUGGGGAGCAAACAGG
rnacentral:rRNA from 1 species